ACAGCCAUAGCCUUCUCUACGUUUUGGAUUUCCUUUUAUGAUUUUACUAUUUAAAUUUGUUUUCUUUUUAAAUAGUACUAAAGUAGCAAUAUUUUAUUGGCAGCCAUAUUUAUGAUGUGAUUAGAUGAUGCACGAGGACGAGGCUACAAAGAGAUCAUUAAAUAAAGGAGCUUGACACAACUACUCUAUCUAUAGCUCUGACUGAUUUUGUUUUUCUUUUUGUCCAAAAUAAUUAGCCUUUUGAUGUAACUGCUGCCCAAAGAGAUGCGCAUUU
rnacentral:lncRNA from 1 species